rnacentral:rRNA from 1 species
AGUGUAGGCGGUUUGUUAAGCGUGUUGUGAAAUUUAGGUGCUCAACAUUUAACUUGCAGCGCGAACUGGCGAACUUGAGUGCACACAACGUAUGCGGAAUUCAUGGUGUAGCGGUGAAAUGCUUAGAUAUCAUGAAGAACUCCGAUUGCGAAGGCAGCGUACGGGAGUGUAACUGACGCUUAAGCUCGAAGGUGCGGGUAUCGAACAGGAUUAGAUACCCUGGUAGUCCGCACAGUAAACGAUGGAUGCCCGCUGUUAGCGCCUGGCGUUAGCGGCUAAGCGAAAGCAUUAAGCAUCCCACCUGGGGAGUACGCCGGCAACGGUGAAACUCAAAGGAAUUGACGGGGGCCCGCACAAGCGGAGGAACAUGUGGUUUAAUUCGAUGAUACGCGAGGAACCUUACCCGGGCUUGAAUUGCAGAUGUAGGAUACAGAGAUGUUGACGCCCUUCGGGGCAUCUGCGAAGGUGCUGCAUGGUUGUCGUCAGCUCGUGCCGUGAGGUGUCGGCUUAAGUGCCAUAACGAGCGCAACCCCUUUUCUUAGUUGCCAUCAGGUAAUGCUGGGCACUCUGGGAACACUGCCACCGCAAGGUGUGAGGAAGGUGGGGAUGACGUCAAAUCAGCACGGCCCUUACGUCCGGGGCUACACACGUGUUACAAUGGCCGGUACAGAGGGACGGUGUAAUGUAAAUUGCAUCAAAUCUUUAAAGCCGGUCCCAGUUCGGACUGAGGUCUGCAACCCGACCUCACGAAGCUGGAUUCGCUAGUAAUCGCGCAUCAGCCAUGGCGCGGUGAAUACGUUCCCGGGCCUUGUACACACCGCCCGUCAAGCCAUGAAAGCCGGGGGUGCCUGAAGUUCGUAACCGCAAGGAGCGACCUAGGGCAAAACUGGUAAUUGGGGCUAAGUCGUAACAAGGUAACC